rnacentral:rRNA from 1 species
AACGGCCGUACCAUGCUGAAUAUACCGGUUCUCGUUAGAUCACCGAAGUCAAGCAUCAUUGGGCGCGGUCAGUUCUUGGGUGGGUGACCACCUGGGAACACCGCGUGCCGUU